AGAAAGUAUGUUAUGAUCUUAGAGACAAAAAAAUGCUACUACUCAUAGACCCUUAAAAGAGCCUUCAAUGAACUUGAAAUUACCUUAAUAGGCAACUAGAUACUAGAUUUUCAAUGCAACAAUGUACAGAACACGAUACUAAACAGGUACUGUAGUCUGAACUAACAAACAAUCACAUAGACAACACUGAGAAUCAGGCAAGUCAGCUAGAUCAGCAAU
rnacentral:lncRNA from 1 species